GGGGCUGGUUGUAGGGCUGGUUGUGGGGCUGGUUGUGGGGCUGGUGGUUGGAGUUGUGGGGCUGGUUGUGGGGCUGGUUGUAGGGCUGGUUGUGGGGGUGGUUGUGGGGCUGGUGGUUGGGGCUAUGGGGGUGGUUGUGGGGCUGGUGUUGGUGGUGGUUGUGGGGCUGGUUGUGGGGCUGGUGGUCAGCGUUGUGGGGCUGGUGGUGGGGCUGGUGAUGGGGCUGGUUGUGGGGCUGGUUGUGGGGCUGGUUGUGGGGCUGGUGGUUGUGGUUGUGGGGCUGGUGGUGGUGGUUGUGGGGCUGGUUGUGGGGCUGGUGGCUGUGGUUGUGGGGCUGGUGGUGGUGGUGGUUGUGGGGCUGGUGGUUGGGGCUGUGGGGCUGGUUGUGGGGCUGGUGGUGGUGGUUGUGGGGCUAGUGGUUGGUGUGGGGGUGGUUGUGGGGCUGGUGGUUGGAGUGGGGCUGGUUGUAGGGCUGGUUGUGGGGCUGGUGGUGGGGCUGGUUGUGGGGCUGGUUGUGGGGCUUGUGGUUGGGGCAGUGGGGCUGGUGGUGGGGCUGGUGGUGGGGCUGGUGGUUGGAGUGGGGCUGGUUGUGGGGCUGGUGGUUGUAGUUGUGGGGCUGGUUGUGGGGCUGGUGAUGGGGCUGGUGGUUGGGGUUGUGGGGCUGGCUAUGGGGCUGGUUGUGGGGCUGGUUGUGGGGCUGGUGGUUGGGGCUGUGGGGCUGGUUGUGGGGCUGGUGGUGGGGCUGGUGGUUGGAGUUGUGGGGCUGGCGGUGGGGCUGGUGGUUGGAGUGGGGCUGGUUGUAGGGCUGGUUGUGGGGCUGGUUGUGGGGCUGGUGGUUGGGAUUGUGGGGCUGGUGGUUGGGGUGGGGGUGGUUGUGGGGCUUUCAGUGGUUGUGGGGCUGGGGGGUGUUGUAGGGAUGGGAGUGGUUGUGGGGCUGGUGGGUGGGGUGGGGGUGGUUGUGGGGCUGUUGGUGGUUGUGGGGCUGGGGGGUGUUGUCGGGAUGGGGGUGGUUGUGGGGCUGCUGGUUGGGAUAGGGGUGGUUGUGGGGCUGGUUGUAGGGCUGGUUGUGGGGCUGGUUGUGGGGCUGGUGGUUGGGAUUGUGGGGCUGGUGGGUGGGAUCGGGGUAGUUGUGGGGCUGGAGGAUGGGGUUGUUGGGUUAGGGGUGGUUGUGGGGAUGGAGGUGGUUGUGGGGCUGGGGGGUGUUGUAGGGAUGGGGCUGGUUGUGGGGCUGCUGGUUGGGAUAGGGGUAGUUGUGGGGCUGGUUGUUGGAAUGGGGCUGGUUGUGGGGCUGGUGGGUGGGGUUGUGGGGAUCGUGGUUGGUGUGGGGCUGGUGGUUGGGAUGGGGGUGGUUGUUGGGUUAGGGGUGGUUGUGGGGCUGCUGGUUGGGGUGGGGGUGGUUGUGGGGCUGUCGGUGGUUGUGGGGCUGUGGGGUGCUGUAGAGCCAAUGGAGGUUGUGGGGCUGAAGGCAGUUCUGGGGCUGUCGGGUGCUGUAGAUCCAAUGGUAGUUGUGGGGCUGCCGGUGGUUGUGGGGCUGUUGGGUGCCGUAGAGCCGGUGUCGGUUGUGGGGCUGCCGGUGGUUGUGGGGCUGAUGGCAGUUGUAGAGGCAAUGGUGGUUGUGGGGCUGUCGGGUGCUGUAGAGCCAAUGGUGGUUGUGGGGCUGUCGGGUGCUGUAGAGCCAAUGGUGGUUGUGGGGCUGUUGGGUGCCGUAGAGCCGGUGUCGGUUGUGGGGCUGCCGGUGGUUGUGGGGCUGAAGGCAGUUCUGGGGCUUUCAGGUGUUGUAGAGCCAAUGGUGGUUGUGGGGCUGUCGGGUGCUGUAGAGCCAAUGGUGGUUGUGGGGCUGUCGGGUGCUGUAGAGCCAAUGGUGGUUGUGGGGCUGUUGGGUGCCGUAGAGCCGGUGUCGGUUGUGGGGCUGCCGGUGGUUGUGGGGCUGAAGGCAGUUCUGGGGCUUUCAGGUGUUGUAGAGCCAAUGGUGGUUGUGGGGCUGUCGGGUGCUGUAGAGCCAAUGGAGGUUGUGGGGCUGCCGGUGGUUAUGGGGCUGUCGGCGGUUGUAGAGGCAAUGGAGGUUGUGGGGCUGCUGGUUGUUGUGGGGCUGAAGGUGGUUGUGGGGCUGCUGGUUGUUGUGGGGCUGAAGGUGGUUGUGGGGCUGCCGGUGGUUGUGGGGCUGUCAGGCGUUGUAGAGCCAAUGGCGGCUGUGGGGAUGGAGGUGGUUGUGGGGCUGUAGGGUGUUGUAGGGAUGGGAGUGGUUGUGGGGCUGCUGGUUGGGAUGAGGGUGGUUGUGGGGCUGGAGAAUGGGGUUGUUGGGUUAGGGGUGGUUAUGGGGCUGCUGGUUGGGGUUGGGGUGGUUGUGGGGCUGACGGCAGUUGUAGAGCCAAUGGAGGUUGUGGGGCUGCCGGUGGUUAUGGGGCUGCCGGCUGUUGUAGAGCCAUUGGUGGUUGUGGGGCUGUCAGGUGCUGUAGAGCCAAUGGUGGUUGUGGGGCUGUCGGGUGCUGUAGAGCCAAUGGUGGUUGUGGGGCUGUUGGGUGCCGUAGAGCCGGUGUCGGUUGUGGGGCUGCCGGUGGUUGUGGGGCUGCUGGUGGUUAUGGGGCUGGUGGUGGUUGUGGGGCUGCCAGUGUCAGUUAUGGGGCUGCCGGUGGCUGUGGGGCUGUCGGUGUUUAUAGAGCCGUUGGUGGUUGUAGAGCUGUUGGUGGUUAUGGGGCUGGCGGUAGUUGUGGGGCUGCCGGUGGUUAUGGGGCUGACGGGUGCUGUCGAUCCAAUGGUGGCUGUGGGGCUGCUGGUGGUUAUGGGGCUGCCGGUGGCUGUGGGGCUGUCGGUGUUUAUAGAGCCGUUGAUGGUUGUAGAGCCGUUGGUGGUUGUGGGGCUGCCGGUGGUUAUGGGGCUGCCGGUGGCUGUGGGGCUGGCAGUGGUUAUGGGGCUGUUGGUGGUUGUAGAGCUGUUGUCGGUUAUGGGGCUGCCGGUGGCUGUGGGGCUGUCGGUGUUUAUAGAGCCGUUGGUGGUUGUAGAGCUGUUGGUCGUUAUGGGGCUGGCGGUGGUUAUGGGGCUGUCGGUGGUUGUAGAGCCGUUCGUGGUUGUAGAGCUGUUGGUGGCUGUGGGGCUGUCCGGUGUUGUACAGUUGGUGGCGUUUGUAGAGCCAAUGGAAGUUAUGGGGCUGCGGUUGCUGAGGCUGUGGGCGCCGUCCGCCCCCAUCGCUGCAUUCCCUGCGUGGCGGUGGUGGUCUUCUCAGUGCUGCCCCCCCACUCUGCAUCCCCCCCAUCUCCUCCCCUCCCCCACUCUGUGUGCCCCCCCAUCUCCUCCCCUCCCCCCCCCAUG
ensembl:lncRNA